GAGCUGACCUAAGAGAAAACAGCCCGUGAACCCGUGCGGAGAGAGGCUGCUGGAGCUCCAGGACCUACAUCUGCCUGGACUGUGUUCUGGAGGCAUCAGAAGAGAUUCCACCCAGAAGAAUACAUACUGGAAGGGACCACAUCUUGAGAAGACAGCCAUUCAUCACAUGGGACCCAACGUACCGGGGCUCAGAACACCCUCUUCCCAGGAUGAAGGACAUCAAUGACCAUCUGUUUCCUCUGAAGCAGACGGUUGGUCAUGAACUUCCUGGUCCGGAUGGUUACUGUGUCAUUCAUGAUGGCUACGGCGCUGGAGCUGGAGAGCAGAUGUAAGCCCUCAGCUAUGGCUCCAUGCCAUGCUUGCCUGCCUGCUGCUGUGCCCCACGCCUUCCCCAUCAUGAUGGUCAUGGGCUCGUUCUUUGAAACUGGGAGAGGAAGAGGUGUACACACUCUUAGAGGAUGAGGAGGAAGUGGCUGGGAAGAUUGAUGAGCUAAGGAAUGGACUACAGCUUGGGGCGAAGCUCGUUGAACUCUGGCAAGGCACCAACACAAGCCUUCUCUCCAGACACAGACACACACACAAGUAUACACACAUGCACACAAGUACACACACACAUGCACACAUAUGCAUGCACACACACAUACACAGACACAUAUGGACAUACACACAUGGAUAUACGCGUACAGGACGUGACUAUGGUAACUAGUUUGGUUUAACCAUUCCACAUUAUAUCUAUCAACACAUCACAUUGUACCCCGCACAUAUAUGCAAUCAUAAUUCACCAAUAAAAAAGUGAAUUUUGGAGACUGGAGAGGUGACUCAGUGUUAAAAAAACUAGUACUAUUCUUCUAGAGGAACUGAGUUAAAUUCCCAGCAUCCACAUUGGGUAGCCUGUAACUCCAUAUCCAGAGGUCAACAUCUUUGGCCUCCAUAGGUACCCACAUACAUGCAUACAUACAUAGAAAUAAAAACUUUCAAGUACA
rnacentral:lncRNA from 1 species